rnacentral:rRNA from 1 species
CCUACGGGAGGCAGUAGUGAGGAAUAUUGGUCAAUGGGCGCGAGCCUGAACCAGCCACGUAGCGUGAAGGAUGACUGCCCUACGGGUUGUCAACUUCUUUUAUAAAGGAAUAAAGUGCGGCACGUGUGCCUUUUUGUCUGUACUUUAUGCAUAAGGAUCGGCUAACUCCGUGCCAGCAGCCGCGGUAAUACGGAGGAUCCGAGCGUUAUCCGGAUUUAUUGGGUGUAAAGGGAGCGUAGAUGGGUUGUUAAGUCAGGUGUGAAAGUUUGCGGCUCAACCGUAAAAUUGCAAUUGAUACUGGCAGUCUAGAGUACAGUUGAGGUAGGCGGAAUUCGUGGUGUAGCGGUGAAAUGCUUAGAUAUCACGAAGAACUCCGAUUGCGAAGGCAGCUUACUAAACUGCCACUGACAUUGAUGCUCGAAAGUGUGGGUAUCAAACAGGAUUAGAUACCCGAGUAGUC